CAUACAUUUGAUUCAAGUGGGUUAUGAACUCCCAUUUUUCCCCUAUCCAGAUUGCAGAACUAACAAUAAUUUUAAAAUACAUAUUGUAUAAAUUCUAGAACCAUAUACUCCCACAUAACAAUUUUUUUAAUAUUCCUUUUAUCUGUAGAUGGAUGCAAUACCUUUAUGUUUCUGUGGUUGAACACAGUGCCUCACGUGUUUGCUAAAGCUCUACCACUGAGCCACAAACCCAGACCCUCAUGACAGUACUUAGUGUGGAAGAGGACACAUGUAACAAUCCAUAUGUGUAUGUGUGUAUAUAUAUAUAUAUAUAUAUAUAUAUAUAUAUAUAUAUAUGUUUUGACAAAAUUUUAAAAGAUGAGUGGAUAAAUUCCAACCUCAUAAUAGUUAAAAGAUCAGCAUUUUAACUCUGGAACAACUGCAUUACAUUAUUAGUUCUGUUACUAAUUAAAACAGAUUUAAGACUACAAAUUACACACUUCAUACUAAAUCACAUUUAUAUCCACCUAAUUUAUUUAUUUAUUUAUUUGUUUGUUUGUUUGUUUUUGGUACCAGGGAAUGAACUCAGGGGCACUCAACCACUGAGCCAUAUCCCCAGCCCUAUUUUGUAUUUUAUUUUGAGACAGGGUCUCACUGAGUUGCUUAGUGCCUCACUUUUGCUGAGGCUGGCUUUGAACACGUGAUCCUCCUGCCUCAGCCUUCUGAGCCACUUAGAUUGCAGGUGUGCGCCACCAUGCCCGGUUUCCACCUAAUUUUUUGUGAACCAUUGUACUUAGAUGACGUGAAAACAGUGAGCUUGGUUGCUGGUUUAUUCUUGUUCCUUGUUAUUCUCCUAUUUGCUGCCAUGACAUAGACAGCUCUGCUCUUCCAUCAAGUCAUCUCAGACGAAACCAACAGCCAUCACAGAAUCUGUGAUCACAAGAGCCGAAGCAAAUCUUUCCUGCCAUUAGUUGAAUUUCUCAUCUGUUCUGACACAGCAACAUCUGAACAGAACUACAAUGCCAGAUGCCUUUACAAGAUUUAAUACUUUGUAUAGGUUUUGACCUGUGGGAAUUUUUUGUCUUUUGAAGGAACUGGGAAAAUUAAAAGCUUUCCCACAUGUCUCAAAUUCACAAGCCUUUUCUCCAUUGUGAAUUCUUUUCAUAUAUGAAAGGACAUUUGCAGAGUCCAAACAAAGUCCAAGGACCACACCACACACUGGAAUCCCACUCAAGAGAUGUAUUGUCAGAGCAUGGAGCCAACUGACAAGGCUUUCCCUCUGAGGAUAGCAUCAGCCUGUGGGCAGUCACAGAGCAGCUCUAUAGCCUGUAAGGAAUUUCACAAGCCUGCCUAGGGGUUAUGUCAUGGGCUGGGUGGGGUGGACCCUCUAGCAGGCCUGUGUUCUUAUGGGAGGCUAAGCAGCAUUGCCUCAGGAUCUCUAGAUAAAAUGGUUGCAAAAUGGAAACCUAGGAGUCCCUAGAUAAAAAUGGC
rnacentral:lncRNA from 1 species